rnacentral:lncRNA from 1 species
UCCUUAUUCUAUGUCUUUACAUAUAUCUCUUCCUUAGCUAUAUCUCUGUUUACUAUAUCAUCUCUUCUCUCUUUAUGCUAUAUCUGUUACUAUAUCAUCUCUCCUUUAUUCUAUAUAUGUUACUAUAGCUCUCCUUAUGCUAUAUCUGUUACUAAUCAUCUCUCCUUUACUCUAUAUCUUUACUAUAUCAUCUCUCUUUAGCUAUAUCUGUUAAUAUCAUCUCUCCUUUACAAUCUGUUACUAUAUAAUCUCCUCCUUUAUGCUAGCACCCUGUUCCCUUUAUAGUGCUGAUGUGAUCUUCUCAAAGGCGGGAAUCGGGAGCCAUUUGGGAAGUGAUCUCACAAUCAUGUUUGUUGUUGUUGUUGUUGUUUGUUUACCUGGAGACCCUCCUGAUCGGAAUGUAAUGGACACACAGAAGAACCAGAAGAAGAUAGUGRUUCUGUUGCUUCAUCUGUCUGACUGUGGGAUGACUUGUGUUUUUAUCAACAUCGUAAUAAAAGUAAAACCAAAUUCUGGAAUGAACGACUUUUCAUUUGAUUAGUUUUUUCAGCUGACCACUAGGAUUUUAUAUGGUAUAUUAUUGUCAUACGGGGUUAUGAACAGCUCGUUCUUUCUCCGUGCAUUUAGCAUACAGGUUAGAUUGACAGAGUACAUCCUGUUGGCACAUAGUGGGGAAUUCCCACCCGAGUUAAGCGGGUAAAUGGAAUGGAAUUCACUUUUAUGCACUUUUCUCUCUACACAGCAAAUUGCCCCAUGUUGAAUUUUCAGUYUAACAUUUAUWGUGUUGAUUCAGGAAUUAAAUUCACUCUGUAAAAUAACCCCCAGUAUUGGAGUUAAUAACCCRGGGUUGCUCGUCUUUUCAGUUCACUGCAGCUAGUUCGCUGCACACUCAAACUGGACAGUUUUAUCUCAAGUCUCUUCAUUCAAAGACUCAAUCGUGGACACUCUUAAUGACAGUUGUGGCUGUACCUAUCCUAAACCAUGUGAAGGGGUCUGUACCUAUCCUAAACCAUGUGAAGCGGUCUGUACCUAUCCUAAACCAUGUGAAGGGGUCUGUACCUAUCCUAAACCAUGUGAAGGGGUCUGUACCUAUCCUAAACCCUCUGAAGGGGUCUGUACCUAUUCUAAACCCUCUGAAGCGGUCUGUACCUAUCCUAAACCAUCUUGAAGGGUCUGCUACCAUCCUUAAACCCUCUGAAGGGGUCUGU